ACAACUGAGAAUCUUUGUCUAAACCUGAGA
rnacentral:piRNA from 1 species